rnacentral:lncRNA from 1 species
AGGGACAUGACAUUCCCAACCCCCCCAACCCCGCAAGCCAGACACCCCAGGCAUAUCCAGACGAGAGGCCCACAAGCCCGUGAGCGCACAGCCCCUCUGACCAAGAGCGCGGCAUUCACCAGAGAAACCACGGCACCAAGCCACAACCGUAUGUACAACCGAUGCACCCGAACUCGGUAAUAUAUCCCAUCAGCCUUUACGGUAUCACGUGAUAAUCUGUCAAUGGCAGGUAAACGAGGAGAGAUGACGUACAAAUGGAGUGAUGAUGACAUUAGUAAGAUGAUCCGAUGCUGGAUGGAGAAGGACCACCUCUUCUCCGGGAAGAGGUUUUCUGCUGCAGCAGGAUGGGAAGUUGUGCUGAGGGAAAUUGGCCUGAAUGGAAUGCUGACUCCAGCAGCAAAAAAGUGGGAGAACCUUAAAAAAACCUACAAGGUUUGUAAUAACUGCUUUAAAUUUAGUCUAAAUGUGACAGACUAAUAAUUAUAGGAAAUGUUGCAUUACUGUUUGAAUUAUUCGCUUAUUCCCUAUUUGUAGGAGCUUCAGAGACCGCCGUCAGGAUCUGGCACUGAAUCUGGGGAGGUCACUGCUGACAAGUGAAAAUAGUUCCCUCUCAUGGAUGAGGCAAUAGGUGGCAGGCCCUCGAUUCGGCCCCCAUGCUUCAUUGCCUCAGCCUGGGGGGAGAGCCAUUCCUUUUCUGAAUCAGGCUCCCCAUAUUCAGUCCCAGAUAGACCUGAUGGAGAGUCAGGGACAGAGGAGGAGGAACCAGGGCCAGCACCACGCAAGCACCAGCGGUGUGAUAGGGUCCUGACAGGAUCCUGGAGCUGCUAGAGAGGGCCUAGGAAAGGGCAACAAGAGAGGAAGCCAGGGAGGAGACACUUUUAAAUCCAUUACAAAAACUGGUGGAUAAAAUGUAAAAAAUAAUAUAUUAAAUUGUUUAAAUCAAGUUAACUUCCAUGGAAACCAGCAAUGGAACAUGCUUGUUCCUCACACAAUAAUGUGAUGGGUGCUCGUUCUGUAGGUAAAACAAAGUUGUUGUUUUUUUUUAAAGGCAAUUUUCACUGUGCUGUUUGAUAAAUUAGAUGAAAUUUCUGGGAAAUAAGAACCCGAUGUGUAGUUUACAAUUGUUUUCACUAGGGGUGCAAUAUGAUCAUCUUAAAAUAACACAACAUAAAUGUGGAA